AUACAUUAUAAACAAAACAAAUAACGGUAUUGAAUUGUGUUGGAUUUGGUGUGUAGGAAAUUCCAUGUUUCCAACAGUGCAUAGGCCCACCUUGUGUCCAAAUUAUAUAAGCUUGGGAAGAAAAUCCUAAUACGAGAGCUCGAUGCAGCGUAAUAAGUCAUGCAUAUAAGACUCAAAGUUAACAUUGGAAGCGUGUACCAUCACAUGGCGAAUCGCUUGUGAGUAUGCCUUAUUUACAUAACGCUAACCAUGUUACUAAGUUAAAGCGCCUAGACUAAAACCAGUCCAAAAAUAGGAAAACAAAAACCUACGUGUAUAUGGGCUAGAUAUACUAGUAAAAAGGCCCAUUAAGUGAAGACACCUUCUCUAGCAUCAGUAGGGCUAUACCUCAUACCUCUAAGAGUCUUGAACCAAGCACGUGCGGCAAGGUAAGAAAAAGGCCCCCACAGUCUAGUACAGUCGGGCUCACAGCAACGUAAACUUUCUCCAGGACCCCACUAAACCUAGAGGCAGAGGCCCCAGCUAUCGGACGUGGAGCAGCCAAGUCCAGGUAUCUCAGCGACUUGUCUGCAAUCCCCUUUGGGGAUCUGGGCAACAUCAGAGCAACCUCCAUGUAUGUAUGCUUAGAACUCCCCCAUCUGUGCUCAGUUUACAGUCAGUUAGGGACUGCGGCCGCCCAGCAGCCACUGUGGAUGAUAACAGUAGAUAUU